ACGCUCGACACCUACGGGGGCAGCAGUAGGGAAUCUUCCACAAUGGGCGCAAGCCUGAUGGAGCAACACCGCGUGAGUGAAGAAGGGUUUCGGCUCGUAAAGCUCUGUUGUUGGAGAAGAACGUGCGUGAGAGUAACUGUUCACGCAGUGACGGUAUCCAACCAGAAAGUCACGGCUAACUACGUGCAGCAGCCGCGGUAAUCUGAGGCGGGCGUGGACGAAGGC
rnacentral:rRNA from 1 species